rnacentral:rRNA from 1 species
AAUUCAGUGAAUCAUCGAAUCUUUGAACGCACCUUGCGCCCCUUGGCAUUCCGAGGGGCACACCCGUUUGAGUGUCGUGAAAUCCUCAAAAUCCUUUUUGGGCUUACCGAAAAGGAUUUUUGG